AGCUUGGCCAGUAAUUCAGAUAUGGUGAAACAGAGCCAUAAACAUGAAUUUCUAAGUAAUAAUUAACAGUGAAUUGAACAAUUAUGGGUGUAAUAUACCAUUCAAGAUAGAUGUGCUUAUAAGGAGAUUUGUUUUGUAGUUGUUUUAUGAGUCACUCAUAGAAGCUUUGUAUUUUCAAAGCAACUUAAAUAAAGAAAAGUCAGCUUUACUACAGACGAAGAAUCAAAUGGCAUUAGAUUUAGAACAACUUCUAAAUCAUCGUGAGGAAUUGGCAGCAAUGAAACAGAUUCUCGUUAAGAUGCAUAGUAAACAUUCUGAGAACAGCUUACUUCUCACUAAAACAGAACCAAAAAAUGUGACAGAAAAUCAGAAAUCAAAGACUUUGAAUGUGCCUAAAGAACAUGAAGACAAUAUACUUACACCUAAACCAACACUCUUUACUAAAAAAGAAGCACCUGAGUGGUCUAAGAAACAAAAGAUGAAGACCUAGUGUUUUGGAUGGGAAGCACCUGUAGACCAUUAUGUACUCCUAAAGUUCUUUUUCUGAUGGAAAACAAUUCAUCUUAAUCAUGUACUCAGUAUUUUUUAAAUAACAAUGUUUAUUUGAACUAAUACUAAAUUAACAAAUUC
rnacentral:sRNA from 1 species